UACGUAGGGUGCGAGCGUUAAUCGGAAUUACUGGGCGUAAAGUGUGCGCAGGCGGCCGAGCAAGUCGAGUGUGAAAGCCCCGAGCUUAACUUGGGAACUGCGCUCGAAACUACUUGGCUAGAGUGUGGCAGAGGGAGGUGGAAUUCCACGUGUAGCGGUGAAAUGCGUAGAUAUCUGGAGGAAUACCGGUGGCGAAGGCGGCAUCCUGGACCAUUACUGACGCUGAGGCGCGAAAGCUAGGGGAGCAAACGGG
rnacentral:rRNA from 1 species